rnacentral:lncRNA from 1 species
CUUCAAGGAAUCCGAUAGACAAUCAGCACAAAAAGAUUUGUGGCUACCUAUGCCUUCAAAUAGUAAAUUUAAAAGAGGAAGAAAAUGAAAAGCCAUCGCAAAAUGAUUAAAACUUCGAAGAGACCGUCAUCUGAGUGGUCCCAUCAGUUACAUCCAUCCGUAUUAGUCGCAUUAGGUUGAUGUUACUUGCCUUAAAUGCAACAAAAGUAGGUGUGAAGGCAGAAGUCCGUGGCAUUGGAUCUGAGGCACUUUUAGAGUAUUCCUUUUGCCUGAUCCUCAGACUCAGGAGUAGGG